rnacentral:rRNA from 1 species
AGUGAACGCUGGCGGUAUGCCUAACACAUGCAAGUCGAACGGCAGCACAGUAAGAGCUUGCUCUUACGGGUGGCGAGUGGCGGACGGGUGAGGAAUACAUCGGAAUCUACUUUUUCGUGGGGGAUAACGUAGGGAAACUUACGCUAAUACCGCAUACGACCUACGGGUGAAAGCAGGGGAUCUUCGGACCUUGCGCGAUUGAUUGAGCCGAUGUCGGAUUAGCUAGUUGGCGGGGUAAAGGCCCACCAAGGCGACGAUCCGUAGCUGGUCUGAGAGGAUGAUCAGCCACACUGGAACUGAGACACGGUCCAGACUCCUACGGGAGGCAGCAGUGGGGAAUAUUGGACAAUGGGCGCAAGCCUGAUCCAGCCAUACCGCGUGGGUGAAGAAGGCCUUCGGGUUGUAAAGCCCUUUUGUUGGGAAAGAAAAGCAGCAGGUUAAUACCCCGCUGUUCUGACGGUACCCAAAGAAUAAGCACCGGCUAACUUCGUG